rnacentral:rRNA from 1 species
GGAGGGUGCAAGCGUUAAUCGGAAUUACUGGGCGUAAAGGGUGCGUAGGUUGUUGUUUAAGUUAUCUGUGAAAUCCCAGGGCUUAACCUUGGUUGGUCAGAUAAGACUGGAUAACUAGAGUAUAGGAGAGGGUAGUGGAAUUUCAGGUGUAGCGGUGAAAUGCGUAGAUAUCUGAAGGAACACCGGUGGCGAAGGCGGCUACCUGGCCUAAUACUGACACUGAGGCACGAAAGCGUGGGGAGCGAACAGGAUUAGAUACCCUGGUAGUCCACGCUGUAAACGAUGUCAACUAGCUGUUGGUCAUAUAGAGAUGAUUAGUGGCGCAGCAAACGCGGUAAGUUGACCGCCUGGGGAGUACGGUCGCAAGAUUA